rnacentral:rRNA from 1 species
AUUGAACGCUGGCGGCAGGCUUAACACAUGCAAGUCGAGCGGAGAUGAGGUGCUUGCACCUUAUCUUAGCGGCGGACGGGUGAGUAAUGCUUAGGAAUCUGCCUAUUAGUGGGGGACAACAUUCCGAAAGGAAUGCUAAUACCGCAUACGCCCUACGGGGGAAAGCAGGGGAUCUUCGGACCUUGCGCUAAUAGAUGAGCCUAAGUCGGAUUAGCUAGUUGGUGGGGUAAAGGCCUACCAAGGCGAAUAUCUGUAGCGGGUCUGAGAGUAUGAUCCGCCACACUGGGACUGAGACACGGCCCAGACUCCUACGGGAGGCAGCAGUGGGGAAUAUUGGACAAUGGGCGGAAGCCUGAUCCAGCCAUGCCGCGUGUGUGAAGAAGGCCUUUUGGUUGUAAAGCACUUUAAGCGAGGAGGAGGCUACCUGGAUUAAUACUCUAGGAUAGUGGACGUUACUCGCAGAAUAAGCACCGGCUAACUCUGUGCCAGCCGCCGCGGUAAUAC